rnacentral:rRNA from 1 species
UUUUUUAAUUGGAAGCUUGUAUGAAUGGUUGAAUGAGAUAUUAACUGUAUCAUAAAAAAUAAAUUAGAAUUUUAUUUUUUAGUUAAAAAGCUAAAAUAAAUUUAAAGGACGAGAAGACCCUAUAGAGUUUUAUAAAAUUAUUUUUAAUUAAUUUUUUUUUAAUAAUAUGUUUAAUGAAUUAAAAAUAAUUUAUUUUGUUGGGGAGAUAAUAAAAUUUAAUUAACUUUUAUAUAAUUUAUAUAUAUAUAUAUAUAUAUUAUUUAACAAAAAUUAUUGAUUACUUGAUCCUUUAUAUAGAUUAAUAGGUUAAAUUACCUUAGGGAUAACAGCGUAAUUUUUUUUUGGAGUUCUUAUUUAUAAAAAAGAUUGC